ACCAGAGCUAUAUCUCCCUGUGGCUCAAGCCUGGCUUCCCAGUGAAGCAAAGCAGUGUUGAGCCUGACCAAUACCUAGAUGGGAGACCUACUGGGGAAAACUAAUGUUGCUGCUGGAA
rnacentral:rRNA from 1 species